GGUGGGGAGUUGGAGUCAGGGUGGAUGAGGCUGGGAUAUCUACAUGCUUGGUGGGGAGUUGGAAUCAGGGUGGAUGAGGCUGGGAUAUCGACAUGCUUGGUGGGGAGUCGGAAUCAGGGUGGAUGAGGCUGGGAUAUCUACAUGCUUGGUGGGGAGUUGGAGUCAGGGUGGAUGAGGCUGGGAUAUCGACAUGCUUGGUGGGGAGGAGGAGCCAAGGUGGAUGAGGCUGGGAUAUCUACAUGCUUGGUGGGGAGUUGGAGUCAGGGUGGAUGAGGCUGGGAUAUCUACAUGGUUGGUGGGGAGUCGGAAUCAGGGUGGAUGAGGCUGGGAUAUCUACAUGGUUGGUGGGGAGGAGGAGCCAAGGUGGAUGAGGCUGGG
rnacentral:lncRNA from 1 species